rnacentral:rRNA from 1 species
CUUUACUGUAGCUUGGAAUUGGGUUCGGGCUUUGCUUGCGCAGGAUAGGUGGGAGACUAUGAAGUUGCUCUUGUGGGAGUAAUGGAGUCAACGGUGAGAUACCACUCUGGUGAGGCUAGAAUUCUAACUUGUUCCCGUUAUCCGGCUUUGGGACAAUUUCAGGUGGGCAGUUUGACUGGGGCGGUCGCCUCCUAAAAGGUAACGGAGGCGCGCAAAGGUUUCCUCAGGCUGGUUGGAAAUCAGCCGAAGAGUGUAAAAGCAGAAGGAAGCUUGACUGUGAGACUGACAAGUCAAACAGGGACGAAAGUCGGCUUUAGUGAUCCGACGGCACUGAGUGGAAGGGCCGUCGCUAAACGGAUAAAAGUUA